AUCUUUCUUUGUGUGGAAGGUGUUCAGCACCAAGGGCAGGGAUGUUUGUGUGUGGAUGGUGAUCAGCACCAAGGACAGGUAUAAAACAU
rnacentral:pre_miRNA from 1 species